rnacentral:rRNA from 1 species
AAUACAUGCAAGUCGAACGAACUCUGGUAUUGAUUGGUGCUUGCAUCAUGAUUUACAUUUGAGUGAGUGGCGAACUGGUGAGUAACACGUGGGAAACCUGCCCAGAAGCGGGGGAUAACACCUGGAAACAGAUGCUAAUACCGCAUAACAACUUGGACCGCAUGGUCCGAGUUUGAAAGAUGGCUUCGGCUAUCACUUUUGGAUGGUCCCGCGGCGUAUUAGCUAGAUGGUGGGGUAACGGCUCACCAUGGCAAUGAUACGUAGCCGACCUGAGAGGGUAAUCGGCCACAUUGGGACUGAGACACGGCCCAAACUCCUACGGGAGGCAGCAGUAGGGAAUCUUCCACAAUGGACGAAAGUCUGAUGGAGCAACGCCGCGUGAGUGAAGAAGGGUUUCGGCUCGUAAAACUCUGUUGUUAAAGAAGAACAUAUCUGAGAGUAACUGUUCAGGUAUUGACGGUAUUUAACCAGAAAGCCACGGCUAACUACGUGCCAGCAGCCGCGGUAAUACGUAGGUGGCAAGCGUUGUCCGGAUUUAUUGGGCGUAAAGCGAGCGCAGGCGGUUUUUUAAGUCUGAUGUGAAAGCCUUCGGCUCAACCGAAGAAGUGCAUCGGAAACUGGGAAACUUGAGUGCAGAAGAGGACAGUGGAACUCCAUGUGUAGCGGUGAAAUGCGUAGAUAUAUGGAAGAACACCAGUGGCGAAGGCGGCUGUCUGGUCUGUAACUGACGCUGAGGCUCGAAAGUAUGGGUAGCAAACAGGAUUAGAUACCCUGGUAGUCCAUACCGUAAACGAUGAAUGCUAAGUGUUGGAGGGUUUCCGCCCUUCAGUGCUGCAGCUAACGCAUUAAGCAUUCCGCCUGGGGAGUACGGCCGCAAGGCUGAAACUCAAAGGAAUUGACGGGGGCCCGCACAAGCGGUGGAGCAUGUGGUUUAAUUCGAAGCUACGCGAAGAACCUUACCAGGUCUUGACAUACUAUGCAAAUCUAAGAGAUUAGACGUUCCCUUCGGGGACAUGGAUACAGGUGGUGCAUGGUUGUCGUCAGCUCGUGUCGUGAGAUGUUGGGUUAAGUCCCGCAACGAGCGCAACCCUUAUUAUCAGUUGCCAGCAUUAAGUUGGGCACUCUGGUGAGACUGCCGGUGACAAACCGGAGGAAGGUGGGGAUGACGUCAAAUCAUCAUGCCCCUUAUGACCUGGGCUACACACGUGCUACAAUGGAUGGUACAACGAGUUGCGAACUCGCGAGAGUAAGCUAAUCUCUUAAAGCCAUUCUCAGUUCGGAUUGUAGGCUGCAACUCGCCUACAUGAAGUCGGAAUCGCUAGUAAUCGCGGAUCAGCAUGCCGCGGUGAAUACGUUCCCGGGCCUUGUACACACCGCCCGUCACACCAUGAGAGUUUGUAACACCCAAAGUCGGUGGGGUAACCUUUUAGGAACCAGCCGCCU